GCCCGGAUGGCGAAAUUGGUAGACGCAAGGGAUUUAAAAUCCCUCGAUGGUAACAUCGUGCCGGUUCGAUUCCGGCUCCGGGCACCA
rnacentral:tRNA from 1 species